UACGAAGGGUGCAAGCGUUGCUCGGAAUUACUGGGCGUAAAGCGUGCGUAGGUGGUUCGUCAAGUCUGAUGUGAAAGCCCUGGGCUCAACCUGGGAAUGGCAUUGGAAACUGGCGAGCUAGAGUGCGGUAGAGGGUAGUGGAAUUCCCGGUGUAGCAGUGAAAUGCGUAGAGAUCGGGAGGAACAUCCGUGGCGAAGGCGACUACCUGGACCAGCACUGACACUGAGGCACGAAAGCGUGGGGAGCAAACAGG
rnacentral:rRNA from 1 species